CUCAUGUUCGCUGUACUCAACAAAAGCCUCUAUGAUGUUGCCUCUCCUCAUCAUCCCUUACUCACAACUGGGCCCCACGACUGCUUUCCUCUCUUGGUGUUGGAUAACAUGCUUGGAAAUCAUGAUCACAACCGUCCCGUAACCUCACUUGAUCAUGAUCACGACGAUCGUGACGGUGGUGAUGGUAUGAUUGAUAAUUAAGUCCCGCCUACAAGCACUACACAACUCUUUGCGACCCACCUGCCUUACUCUUUGUUACCAAAAUCUGUGACAACUUCUAGUAGUACUUGCGGUGUGUCAAAAUUCGUUUACGUUUGCCGCAACCCUAAAGAUGUAUUCAUUUCUUUAUGGAUCUUCGCAAGCAAAGUUAAAGCAGUAAACACAGGACUUGCACCCUUCUCACUAGAAUAAGCAUUUGAGCUUUUCUGCGGCGGUGUCUGCCCAUACGGGCCCUAUUGGGAUCAUGUGCUAGGGUUUUGGAAAGCAAGCUUGGAAAUGCCAGAGCGAGUUUUGUUCUUAAAAUAUGAGGAUCUCAGGAAGGAGCCAUCUGCUAAUGUGAAGAGACUGGCUGAAUUCUCGGGUCAACCUUUUUCAGAUGAGGACGAAAGCAAAGGGCUGAUGCAGCAGAUCAUAAAGCUUUGUAGUUUUGAGAAUCUGAGCUGCUUGGAGGUAAAUAAAACCUCCAAGACGCAACGGUACUUUAUUAAAGCCAAUCUUGUCAUCGAGAACAGUGACUUCUUCGGGAAAGGCCAAGUUGGGGAUUGGAAGAACUUCUUCACUGAUGACAUGGCAAAACGUAUGGAUCAUAUCAUAGAUGAAAGGAUCAGUGGUUCUGGAUUGACAUUUGCCAAUCCAUAGCUAGCCUUAAAAAUUAAUUGCUUAAUUAUUAUGUAUUGUGCUUCUCUUUGGUCAAUUUAACAAUAAACUUGGCAUAUUAAUUAUGAUCGAGCGGCACCACAAUGAAUAAUAACACGGAUUCACUUUCGUAUUGACGUUUAAGAUAAUUCAUGUGUGUGUGUGUGUGUAUCUCAAUAUGUGUGUGUCCAAGUCAACUAGCUAGUCCGCAUUUUAUGAUAGUGUAGUAUUAUGCAUAUAUGUGUGAAAGGAUUAUGAUGCAGGGAUUUGCUUUCUCCAUAAUUGAAAUUUUAUAAGUUUUCACAAACACUCCCUCGUCCCCGCUUCCACUUAACUUAUGGCUUGUUUUAAACUACUUUUUGUGAAAAUAUUUUUAGAACCAAUCUUUAGUAGAAAUGCAAGUGAGUCUUGAAACAACACUUGAAGUGAUUGCUACAAAAAUCACAUAACUGGUGCUUCUUACAGAAAGUCAUUUAAGUGCUUUUGGAACUCAAAUAUAUUUUUGUAAAAACGCUUUUAAUCGUUUUAAAAACACUUUUGAACGAACAUUUCCUUAUGUUUAAUAAUUACUAUUACAUACUAGUCUCGAUAUUUCUUAUUGAACAGGAUAAUUAAGCAAACUUUUGUUAAGAAACGUGAACAAACAUUGUAAUUUCAUACAUAGCAAAUAUAACAAAUUGUUUUCUUCCUCUAAAAAACCGUUCUUUCCUUUUCUGUAUAAUGCCCAUUUCAGUCAGUGACACUCACAAGAGGGGAUAAUCAUAGAGGCGGGCCACGGGGACGAUGGAGAAUUAUUUUCUCAAAAAUAGUUUACAAGAAGAAAUAAUAUUAGCUAAUCAACAACGAGCAAACUAGGCAUUUUAGCCCACCCCGGUCCAAUAAUAUUUAUUUCAUUAUAAGAAUUUACAGCUCUCUAAUUGGAGUAGAACUUUUAUUUAUAUUUAUCUCACAUUGGUCAAAUUGAAAAGUUUCUUACAUUUUAUGACAUCAAGUCCGUCUUACGAAGUGAUUGGAAAGAUGAAGUAUGGAGAGCAAAUUUGAACUUGAACUUUGAAUUUAAGCUUUAGGGUGUGAUAAUUAUAUAUAUAUAUGUGUGUGUGUGUGUAUAUAACUAAAAUAUAUUUAAUUAUGAAAAGAUGAGCCUUGGGUUUAGGUCUCUUAGACCAUCUCCAACUCUUAGAGUAAAACUCAAAUUUUAGGUUCUAAACUUAUCCCAACUUAUCCCAACUUGCUCCAACUCUUAGGGCAAAUAUGAGUUAAAACUCAAAACUCAUUUCUAGGGCAAAUGUAGCCCAGGAUUUCCCCUGAGUUAGUGGGGUUGGCCCACCAUAUAUGUAUAUUUUUUUAGUCUUAUAUUUAUAAAUUCAUUGAAUCCAACGGUUAAGAUCUAACUUGAUCAAAUCCAACGGUAAAAAAGAUAUCUAGCGGUCCAAAUUUAAAUUCAACGGCUAAAGUAAUUAAAAAAAUUAUUUUAUGUGUUUCAUAUUCUUUCGUAGUGUUCCACGAGUUUCAUGGUAUCGGUUUAGUGAUUUUUCAAUAUUUAUCGGAGUUUAAAUAUUUUUAGGUUAAAAUGUUAAUAAAAUUAAAUUAUGAUAGUCUACAUAUAUAUAUUUUUUAAGUUACUUUAAGAAAUAAAUUAUCCUAAAUUCUUAAUAAUCUCGGGCUAAAAAUUUAACCCAGAAGGUUUGGAGGAGAAAAGUUGUUUCUGAGUUAAAACCUAAAUUUUUUGGGCUAAAAAUUUAGGUUUUAACCCAAGUGUUAGAGAUGAUCUUAGGUUCGGACUCUAAUGUCAAUUAAAAUAAUUAAUUUAUUAAUUUUGGAUUUAAUUAUUUUUAUUUUAUUUCACAAAUAUUUAUUUAUUUUUAUUAAUUCGGUAGGGUCAUCCUUUUGGGUGAAGCGUGAGAUGAUGAAAGAAAUCUAGGAAAAUGCAUCAUUUCUGAGCACAUUCCUCCUAUAAAAUACAUCUCAAAUUGAUACAUGUUGCGAACAGGUAUAUGUACAUUAUACAUCCAUUUGCAUUGCAUUUAGAAUACAAAAAAAAAAAAUCAUUUUCAUACUAUUGAGAGAAGCACAAAGAAGUUUACGAACCAGUGUAACAGUAUAUCUCUUGACUUGUCCCCUUCAGAACAUAACAACCCAAUUGAAUUGUUGUUUAACUCAAACAUAUCUGCACAAAAAGGGAUGAGUCCAAAGCUUCAAGACAAAAAAACCCUUCUUUGGCCAAUAAGUAAAAGAUAGAAAAUAAGGAGGAAAAAAAAUUGUAGUGAAAGAAGAAAUUGGUAGUGGGAUCAUAAAUAAAAAGAUGACGGGAAAAACCCUUAGUGAAUAGGGUAAUAAACACAAAUUAAUAAGAAAAAAAAGGUUACAAGAGUUACAAAAAAUAAAAGGAAAACCAAUGGAAAAUGUUUGAAAACUUUGAGUUUUAAUGAUAAGGACAAAAUAAAGGGUCAAGUAAAUAGUACCAUGUUUGACUUUUUAAUGUAAAAAUAUGAUUUUUCGUUAAAGUGAAUAGUACCAUGGGCUUGUCGUUAAAACUCCCAAAAAUAAAAGACUGAAGAUUCCAUCUUAAUUUCUCAUUACGUCACAAAAACUAAAAGACUGAAGAUUCCAUCUUAAUUUCUCACUAACCACAAAUAAUGACAAAUAAACUUACUUUCCUACUAACCACCAAAUAAUAACAAUUAUAAUUAAUUUAAUAUUACAAAUGAACUAACCUAGCUAGAUCGUGCUCAUUCUCAUUACGUCACAAAAUGUCUUCAGCUUUGUCCCACCCUUCUUCUUCUAAGCCACACCGCCGUAAUAUUGUUCCUGAACCAAUUACAUUAAGCAGAAGGAAGGCCUGGAAGCCUACCAAAAACCUAUAUGCAGAGUUUCCGCUAAACCUUUCGAAAAAGAUGGGUUACGCCACUUGGUUCAAUACUAAGGCUACUGGCUAAACCAUGCCUUUGCCUUAAAAAAUAGUAUUGUUGCUUCAACACCAUUCCAACUUCCUCAAAACUUCUGCACCAGCUGCAAGUACUUGUGCCGCCGCCCGUGGCUCCUACAUUUUCUUCCUGGCUACAUAUCUAAAAUCAGGUAGAACAUGGCUUAGAGCACUCAUCUUUGCUACCAUCAAGAUAAUUUAUAGAAUUUUUACCACCUGCAAAAAUAGAGAUAAAAACACUUAAAAAUACUUUAAAGAGAACAAGGUAAUCGUAGUAUAACAGCUCAAGCAAGGUCGUUUUCCACAAAGAUUGAAUGAAUAAUUUAUGUAAAAUCAAUCUUAGUUAAUUAUUUGAAAGUUGAAACGAAGUUUUGGAAAAUAUUGAUUUUAAGACCUAAAAUAAGAAAAACGAAUUUAAUUAAAAAAUAUUAGAAAAAUAAGCAAAAGUAAAAGAAACUAAAAUAAAACGAUUUGGAAAAUCAAUUUGUAAAAGCACUAACUGAACACUGAAUUAUUGACCCAUUCUAUUGAGAUAUGGUCUUACCGCUUUUGGGUACAUAGCAUUUUUAGAAUUUUUAGCAUUUUUAGUUCAUAAACCCCACCAUUCACCAUUAUUAAUGUGCAAUGCACGUUAUUGAUUUAACGUGCUCUCUACUCAACUACUUUAGAAAUGACUUUAUUUAAAAAGAUCAUGAUAUUUAUUUAUGAAGAAAUAACACUAGUGUCCAAUGCAAUUUUGCUAGAUCCAUCUGAAGUGACUCCUGCUUUUGGAUUUUUUUCCGAUAUUCAAUUCACGUUAUUGAUUUAACGUGCUCUCUACUCUACUCAACUACUUUGAAAUGACUUUAUUUAAAAAGAUCCUGAUAUUUAUUUAUGAAGACAUAACACUAGUGGCCAUGCAAUAUUGCUAGAUCCAUCUGAAGUAGGUCUGGCAAACGGAUCGUGUUUGUGUCAUUUUCGUAUAACAUAUAUUAUUUUAACGAAUCGUGUCGUGUUACACCCAUUAUCUUAACGGAUCCUUAAUAGGUCGGGUCAAUGGGUAAAGUGACCCGACUUGUUAUGAUUCAUUAUGACCCAUUAAGAAAAAUGUAUUUUUUUUCUUAAAUUUGCACAUACCACACAUUGCCACAUAAAUAUUACUUUAAAACAUUAAAACACAUUUGUCUUUUAAGUACUACACCUACACUUGAAAAUAAGAGUCUAAGAAACAAACAUUCAUACAUUACUAGUCUAUUACAAAAUAUUAAAUGUGCAAGGAUAUGCAAAAUGAAAGAGUUUUUGUUUUCAAGGUUGUGAAGCCUUUCUCAAAAGUUUAAACAUUGUCAAUGGAAUUCAAAGCUUGCAUAUUAUUCCUUUUACAAAACCCUUAAAUUUCAUCGAUCAUCAUGACAUAAGAUUUUGUAAUAUCCACUAGUGUAAAUAUUUUAAAUUGAAGAUCGAAUUCAUUCAUUGUAUUCAUACAGGGUGAAAUAGUGUAGCUAUAAAAAAAAUCAUCAAAAUCAGAGUUAAAAUAACCGUUAAAUCGUAAUUUUUCGUUGAUAACCGUCGAAAAGUUUUGUCCCGUUACUUGAUCUCUGAAUGUUUGUUUUUUGCAAUUUUUGACGUAUGCAAUCUUGAAGCAUAUACAAACAAGUUUGACGGUUAGAUAGUUGAAAUUAGUUUCAUAGAAUGCGUAUCCCAUCAAAACGAUAGAUUCACAAAUACUUAAAGUUUAUUUAUACUUUCAUUAAGUAUAACAUAAGAUUUUGUGGUAUCCACUAGUGUCAAUAUUUUGAAUUGAAGAUCGAAUUUAUUCAUUGUAUUCCUAUAGGGUCAAGGAAUGUAGCUGAAAAAAUCAUCAAAAUCGGAGUUAAAAUAAACGUUAAAUCGUAAUUUUUCGUUGAUAACUGUCGAAAAGUUUUGUCCCAUUACUUGAUUUCUGAAUGUUUGUUUUUUGCAAUUUUUGGCGUAUGCGAUCUCAAAGUAUAUACAAACAUGUUUGACGGUUGGAUCGUUGAAAUUAGUUUUGUAGAAUGCGUAUCCCAUCAAAACGAUAGAUUCACUAACACUAAAGAGUUUAUUCAUACUUUCAUUAAGUAUAACGAUAGAUUCACUAACACUAAAGAGUUUAUUCAUACUUUCAUUAAGUAUAACAUAAGAUUUUGUGGUAUCCACUAGUGUAAAUAUUUUAAAUUGAAGAUCAAGUUCAUUCAUUGUAUUCAUAUAGAGUCAAGGAGUGUAGUUGUAAAAAAUCACCGAAAUCAGAGUUAAAAUAGUCGUUAAAUCAUGAUUUUGUAGUUGAUAAUCGUUGAAAAGUUUUGUCUCGUUACUUAAUCUUUGAAUGUUUUUUUUUGCAAUUUUUGGCAUAUGUGAUCUUGAAGUAUAUACAAAUAUGUUUGACGGUUGGAUCGUUGAACCUAGUUUCGUAAAAUGCGUAUACCAUCAAAACAGUAGAUUCACUAACACUUAAGAGUUUAUUUAUACUUUAAUUAAGUAUAACAUAAGAUUUUGUGGUAUCCACUAGUGUAAAUAUUUUAAAUUGAAGAUCGAGUUCCUUCAUUGUAUUCAUAUAGGGUCAAGGAGUGUAACUGUAAAAAAAUCAUCAAAAUUGGAGUUAAAAUAACCGCUAAAUCGUAAUUUUUUGUUGAUAACCGUCGAAACAUUUUGUCCCGUUACUUGAUCUCCGAAUGUUUGUUUUUUGCGAUUUUUGGCGUAUGCGAUCUCGAAACAUAUACAAACAAGUUUAACGAUUGGAUUGUUGAAAUUAGCUUCGUAGAAUGUGUAUUCUAUCAAAACGAUGGAUUCACUAACACUUAAGAGUUUAUUCAUACUUUCAUUUAGUGUAAAUAUUUUAAAUUGAAGAUCGAAUUCAUUCAUUGCAUUCAUAUAAACUCAAGGAGUGUAGCUGUAAAAAAUCAUCAAAAUCGGAGUUAAAAAUAACCGUUAAAUCACGAUUUUUCUUUGAUAACUGUUGAAAAGUUUUGUCUCGUUACUUGAUCGUUGAAUGUUUGUUUUUUGCAAUUUUUGGUUUAUGCGAUCUCGAAGUAUAUAUAAACAUGUUUGAUGGUUAGAUCGUUGAAAUUAGUUUCGUAGAAUGCGUAUCCCAUCAAAACGAUAGAUUCACUAACACUUAAGAGUUUAUUCAUACUUUCAUUAAGUAUAAUAUAAGAUUUUGUGAUAUCCACUAGUGUCAAUAUUUUAAAUUAAAGAUCAAGUUCAUUCAUUGUAUUCAUAUAGGGUCAAGGAGUGUAAUUGUAAAAAAAUCAUCAAAAUCGGAGUUAAAAGAACCGUUAAAUCGUGAUUUUUUUGUUGAUAACAGUUGAAAAGUUUUGUCCUGUGAAUUGAUCUUUGAAUGUUUGUUUUUUACAAUUUUUGGCUUAUGCGAUCUUGAAGUAUAUACAAACAUAUUUGACGGUUGGAUCGUUGAAACUAGCUUCAUAUAAUGCGCAUCUCAUCAAAACAAUAGAUUCACUAACACUUAAGAGUUUAUUCAUAGUUUCACUAGUGUAAAUAUUUUAAAUUGAAGAUCGAGUUCAUUUAUUGUAUUCGUAUAGGGUCAAGGAGUGUAGCUGUAAAAAAAUUAUCAAAAUCAGAGUUAAAAUAACAGUUAAAUCGUGAUUUUUCGUUCAUAACCGUCGAAAAGUUUUGUCUCGUUAUUUGAUAUCUGAAUGUUUGUUUUUUACGAUUUUUUGUGUAUGCGAUUUUGGAGCAUGUACAAAUAAGUUUGACGGUUGGAUCGUUGAAAUUAGCUUCGUAGAAUGCGUAUCCCAUCAAAAUGAUAGAUUCACUAAAACUUAAAGAGUUUAUUCAUACUUUCAUGAAGUAUAACAUAAGAUUUUGUGGUAUCCACUGGUUAAAUAUUUUAAAUUGAAAAUUAAAUUCAUUCAUUGUAUUCAUAUAGGGUCAAGGAGUGUAGCUGUAAAAAAUCAUCAAAAUCGGAGUUAAAAUAACCGUUAAAUCGUGAUUUUUCGUUCAUAACCGUAAAAAAGUUUUGUCCCAUGACUUGAUCUCUGGAUGUAUGUUUUUUGCAAUUUUUGGCGUAUGCAAUCUCAAAGUAUAUACAAACAUGUUUGACGGUUAGAUCGUUGAAACUAGUUUCGUAGAAUGCGUAUCCCAUCAAAACAAUAGAUUCACUAACACUUAAGAGUUUCUUCAUACUUUCAUUAAGUAUAAUAUAAGAUCCACUAGUGUAAAUAUUUUAAAUUGAAGAUCGAGUUCAUUCAUUGUAUUCGUAUAGGGUCAAGGAGUGUAGCUGUAAAAAAUUAUCAAAAUCGGAGUUAAAAUAACCGUUAAAUCGUGAUUUUUCGUUGAUAACAGUCGAAAAUGUUUGUCUCGUUACUUGAUCUUUGAAUGUUUGUUUUUUGCGAGUUUUUGUUGAUGCGAUCUCAAAGCAUAUACAAACAAGUUUGACAGUUGAAUAAUUGAAAUUAGUUUCGUAGAAUUUGUAUCCCAUCAAGUUCAAUGAUAUAUAUAUAUAUUUAUUAAAUAGAUUUAAAUUUAUUUAUUUUGUACGUAUAACACUUAAGAAAUUGAGUGAUAUGUAUAUUUAAGCCGAUCCAAUGGUUGCCAAUUUUUAAUAUUUAAUUUAAUAUAUACAUAUAUAUAUAUAAUUAUUAUAGUUUUUAGGGGUAUAAAAUUGUUAAAUUAAUAUAUACUAGAAGAUGAGCGCACACUUUGUGUGUGAACAAUUUCAUUUUCUUUUUUGUUUUUUAUUAAGGAGUGUGAUUAGUUUUUUAAAAUUUUAAAAAGAGUAUGAGACAAUGAUGAUGUGAUUUCUUAAUAAGGCCAUAUUUUUCUUAAUAUUACAUAAUUACCAUUUUUCCUCCUUUAUGUAAAUUUUGUGUAUCAAAAGUGAGGGUAAAAUAGGAAAAAUGGGGAUAUGAUUAUCAUUUUAUCAAAAGAUACAAAAUUAUUAUUUUGCCCUCCUUGUGUAAGUAUUGUGUAUCAAAAGUGAUGGCAAAAUUAGAAAAAAAUGGCAAAAAGUUGACAAGGAGGGUUCUCUUAAUAGAAUAGAUAAUUAUUAUAAUAUUUUUUUAGUGUUAUAAAAUUAUAAAAUUAAUAUUUUGCUUAUCGUGUAUCGUGUUAUCCACGUGUAUACCCGAAUCAAUCCGUUAUCUUAACAGGUGUUUAUCGGGUUACCUGAUAACGACCCGAUUUGUUAUUGUGUCGACCCGAACAUAUUUUAAUUUCAUAUUAUGUCUUGUUGGAUUAUCGGGUCGUGUUAGGAAUUACCAGGCCUAAUAUGAAGGGACUCCUCCUUUUGGAUUUUUUUUCCAAUAUGUUUCAUUAUUUUGUAGUGCAGUGUUAGAUUCUCAUUGAAAACGUCAAUUCAAAAGUCAUAUUUAGGGAUGGGCAAUGGUUAUGGCGGGCGGGUAACCGCGAUUAUUUACCCAUAACCAUUUAUGUUUAUACCCGCAUAACCGUUUACCCGUUGGGUAAUUACAUAAAUGGUUAUACCCAUAACCAUAACCGUUUAUAAACGGUUAUCCAUACCCAUAACCGUGUACCCAUUUACCCAUAACCAUUUACCCAUUUAAUCAUAACCAUAACCAUUUAAUUUACCCAUUUUUUCGCCUGUUUAUCAUUUUUUAACCCAUUUACCCUCUUUUUUUUUCGCCCGUCUACAUUAUUUUUUUAACAAUUUGAAAAUUACAAAAGAAAAAUUUGUCAUAAUUUUUAUUUUCUGACAAUUAAACACCGUUAUAAAUGCAUUUUAGCAUACAUUUCUCUAUUUUAAUCAUUUAAGUUCUCGUAUAAUUCCAAUAAUUGAAAUAAUAGUUUACGAACGAUAUUUUUCUGUAUAGCAUAUCCCAAAAACUUAGUCAAAAGCAUAUCCCAAUAAUUGAAAUAAAUGAUAUGCUCUGUACACGAUAAUUCUCGAAGUUGGAACUGAACAUCUUGAAGUGUCAUCUGCAACAUCUACAAGUGAAGAACUCCACAGCCAACAAAACAAAACAACCAAUCAAUUUUUUUCAAACUAACGCAAUCAAUUUUAAUCAAUUUUUCUAUAUAACAACUAGGGAUGGGCAAAAUAUCCAUGGGUAUGGAUAACCGCGGUUACCCGCCCAUUUAAAGUUGAUGGUUAUGGUUAUGGGUAACCGUUUAAACAAAUAAACAGUUAUGGGUAAAACCGUUUAUCCAUGAAAUUUAAAUGGGCGGUUAUGGGUAUUAUCCGCGGUUAUAACGGGUAUCCAUCGAUUAUGGGUAAUAUUUAUGGUUAUAAUGGGUAUCCAUUUACCCAUUUAAUUUAAUAUAUGUAAAAUUAAAAAAAAAAAGUAAAAACCCUCAGAGUUACAAAUCCAUCACUCUCUUUCUCCGCCUCUCGACUUCGUCAAUCUCUCUCCGAUGCUCUCUCUCUCCGUCGCUCUCUCUUUGCGCCUCUCUCUCCGUCGCUCUCUCUUUGGGCCUCUCUCUCCGUCGCUCUCUCUGCGCCUCUCGACUUCGACUCAACCACACCUCGGCGACCUCGCUCAGACAAUCUCACCACCCUCCUCGACCUCACCUCAGACAACCUCCUCACCUUAGAAUCUGGGACAUCAGUUAAAUUUUGGAAUUAAUUUAGGGUUUGAGAUUUAGGGUUUGUGAAAUUUAAAUUAGGAUUUGUCAAAUCUAGUCUUGAUUAGGCAUUGUUCUUGAUUUUAUUAAAAAUUUGCAUUGUUCUUGAUUUUGGAAAUGUACUUGUGUGUUUGGUUCUCCAGUUUGUAUCUGUGUUAUGUAUUACUGAAUUUAGUAGAGUAAUUAUGUGUUCACAUAUCUUUAUUUAACUCUUAUUACUCUACAGGCUUUUAAAUUUUGCCUAGGACUAUUUGGUAUUGUUUUGUUUGAAUGAAAUGUAGCAGUAAGUAGGGGGUUCCAAGUUGGUAAACUCUUAUUACUCAGUUUUCUUGCUGUAUUUGUGUUUAAUCUUGUUAUACCAUUUUUGGGAGGAGGGAAUUUUCAAUUUUGUUAUGUCUUGUUGUUUGAAAUUUGCAGAGAUCAAUCGCAGUGAGAAUUCUGCCAUGGCCAAAAGCUCGUUCAAGCUUGAACAUACUCUGGGUAUGCUUUUAAUUUUUAAUUUUGUUGGGUUAUUUGUAUGGUUUCUGGAAUGCCCAUAUGCCUGUUUUGGUUUCUUUUAAUUGGCUGAUUGUAGUUUUUGAUGUCUUGUUCUUGAACACCUGAAUUAUGGAUUGUGGCCCUUUUGGAUUGAAGGAUGAUUUGCAGAUAAAAGUUUAUGUCUUUUCAAUUUUAUAAAACAAAAGUUUGGGUUUUUAUCGAUUGCUUCAGCUUGGUAUUGUUUAAAUUUUAGUAUGAGUUUUGUUAUCGAACUUGUUCUGAUAUCAAACUUGUUUGUUCAAUGGAAUUAAGUCGUGCGAUUAUAAAUCAUCGGCCUUUGUUUGACAUGAGUUUUUCUAUCGAACUUGUUUUCGAUAGAAUUAAUUUGUGGGGUUGUAGAUUAUCAACUCAAUAGCAUCUGUUUGGUAUUUUAAAUCAGUCUCAGUUUUCGUAUGAACUAUUUCCACCUGCAAUAUAAUUUGUGAAUUGAUAAUCUGUAUUUGUUUCAGCAGGAACUCUUUUCGUAUGAAUUAUUUGAAGAUAUUUAGAUCUUCAAAAAGUCUUGUAUCUAACUGUUUCAACUAGUUCCAAGAUGGAGACUCAAAGCGAGAACCAAGCUAUUGAACCAAUUAAUCUUGAUCAAGAAUUGGACCUUAGUGAAUCAAGCUUUGAUGACACUGGUAGGAAGAGAACCAUCUGAUUUGAUUCGUUCUCAAUAGCCAUGAGAUGAUCAUCUUAGGGUGAUCAUUUUGUCGACGGAUGCUCCUAUUACACUCGUAGUCUCUGAAGGAUGAGAACCAACUAUGUAGCAUCUACAUCGAGAAUUCAAGUAUUGUAUACGUCAUUAGUCCGAUCCUUUGUAGGAACUACCCAUAAUAACGAACUUGCAAAAUGAAUCUCUUUAUGGCAGAAUUUUGAGGAAAAAAGUUUUUGUGGGGAGGUGAAAGCUGUCUGUAACCAUUGUAAAGCUAGGCUAGCAUCGGGCUCCACUGUUGGUACUUCAUCUUCACUUUCACAUGUUAGAACAUGUCUUGUAUUGAACACAAAGAAAAAGAGUCCAGUUAUAAUCGGUGAUGAGUCUGUUAAACAUGGUGCAUAUAGUUUUGAUGAAGGUAAUGCUAGGAAAGAGCUAGCUUAUAUGAUUAUCUUACAUGAGUAUCCUUUAUCUAUGGUGGACCACUUGGGUUUUAAGAGGUUUUGCAAUUCAUUGCAACCCUUAUUUAAGGUUAUUUCUAGAAGUACAAUCAAGAGGGAUAUUAUGAAAGUAUUUGAAUGUGAAAAGGGAGAGACCAUGAAGUUGUUGCAAAUGAACAAGAGGAAAAUUGCAAUCACGACUGACAUGUGGACUUCAAGUAAUUAGAAGAGAGGGUUUAUGGCUAUCACUUCUCAUUUUAUCGAUGCUUCGUGGACGCUUCAAAGUCGAAUUCUAAGGUAAUUUAUCAAACUAAUACCAUAUCUUUGUAAUUUAAAGAAGUGUUCACCAUUGGUUGUUUUGUUCUGUUAGCUAUGGAGUUCUUCACUUUUUUGCGUUAGUUUGGAAACUUUUCUAACAUGUUCUAACAUGUUGGAUGUGGGAUAUGCUUUUGACUAAGUUUUUGGAAAACGUUUUGGAGACUUUCACAUGUUGGAUGUGGGAUAUGCUUUUGACUAAGUUUGGAAACUUUUUGUUUCCUUUUUACAUAAUCUGGAAUAUGUCUUGUUUACUGAUGGAAGAGAUUUUGCUUCUGUGUAUUAAAUUUCUUUUGUAGGAUAUGCUUUUGACUAAUUCAAUUAUACAUUUCUUUUGUAGGCCUCUUUUGGUGACCACGAGUCGAUGAUACUUUGUGAUUGAACGUGUUCGAAACACAUAUUUCAAUUAGAUGAAAUUAUAUGAAAUAAUAGAGGGUUAACUCAGUUUUGUGAUGAAUUAGAUGAAAUUUGGUCGGUUUCGUAUGGUUGUUUUUUGUUAUCAGAAACAUAGAUUUAUGAGUUGUUGCUAAAGGGUUUGUUGCUUUAAAAAUCAUUCGUGAAUUCAGAAAUAAAAAAGCUCUACUUUUACUCUUCCUUUAGGCUCAAUUUUCUCAGGUUCCUGAACUUCCAUAAUUUAUUGGUUGUUAUACAGAAUAAAAAAAAUUGAUUGGUUGCUAUUAGGGAUGGGCAAUGGUUAUGGCGGGUGGGUAACCGCGAUUAUUUACCCAUAACCAUUUAUGUUCAUACCCGCAUAACCGUUUACCCGUUGGGUAAUUACAUAAAUGGUUAUACCCAUAACCAUAACCGUUUAUAAACGGUUAUCCAUACCCAUAACUGUGUACCCAUUUACCCAUAACCAUUUACCCAUUUAACCAUAACCAUAACCAUUUACCCAUUUACCCAUUUUUUCGCCCGUUUAUCCUUUUUAACCCAUUUACCCUCUCUUUUUUCGCAUGUCUACAUUAUUUUUUUAACAAUUUGAAAAUUACAAAAGAAAAAUUUGUCAUAAUUUUUAUUUUCUGACAAUUAAACACCGUUAUAAAUACAUUUUAGCAUACAUUUCCCUAUUUUAAUCAUUUAAGUUCUCGUAUAAUUCCAAUAAUUGAAAUAAAAGUUUACGAACGAUAUUUUUCUGUAUAGCAAGUUGUUCUGUAUAGCAUAUCCCAAAAACUUAGUCAAAAGCAUAUCCCAAUAAUUGAAAUAAAUGAUAUGCUCUGUACACGAUAAUUCUCGAAGCUGGAACCGAACAUCUUGAAGUGUCAUCUGCAACAUCUACAAGUGAAGAACUCCACAGCCAACAGAACAAAACAACCAAUCAAUUUUUUCAAACUAAUGCAAUCAAUUUUAAUCAAUUUUUCUGUAUAGCAACCAAUCAAUUUUUUUUAUUCUGUAUAGCAACCAAUAAAUUAUGGAAGUUCAGGAACCUGAGAAAAUUGAGCCUAAAGGAAGAGUAAAAGUAGAGCUUUUUUAUUUCUGAAUUCCCGAAUGAUUUUUAAAGCAACAAACCCUUUAGCAACAGCUCAUAAAUAUGUGUUUCUGAUAACAAAAAACAACCAUACGAAACCAACCAAAUUUCAUCUAAUUCAUCACAAAACUGAGUUAACCCUCUAUUAUUUCAUAUAAUUUCAUCUAAUUGAAAUCUAUGUUACACGUUCAAUCACAAAGCAUCAUCGACUCGUUGUCACCAAAAGAGGCCUACAAAAGAAAUGUAUAAUUGAAUUAGUCAAAAGCAUAUCCUACAAAAAAAAUUUAAUACACAGAAGCAAGAUCUCUUCCAUCAGUAAACAAGACAUAUUCCAGAUUAUGUAAAAAGGAAACAAAAAGUUUCCAAACUUAGUCAAAAGCAUAUCCCACAUCCAACAUGUGAAAGUCUCCAAAAAGUUUUCCAAAAACUUAGUCAAAAGCAUAUCCCGCAUCCAACAUGUUAGAACAUGUUAGAAAAGUUUCCAAACUAACGCAAAAAAGUGAAGAACUCCACAGCCAACAGAACAAAACAACCAAUCCGAACACUUCUUUAAAUUACAAAGAUAUGGUAUUAGUUCGAUAAAUUACCUUAGAAUUCGACUUUGAAGCGUCCACGAAGCAUCGAUAAAAUGAGAAGUGAUAGCCAUAAACCCUCUCUUCUGAUUACUUGAAGUCCACAUGUCAGUCGUGAUUGCAAUUUUACUCUUGUUCAUUUGCAACAACUUCAUGGUCUCUCCCUUUUCACAUUCAAAUACUUUCAUAAUAUCCCUCUUGAUUGUACUUCUAGAAAUAACCUUAAAUAAGGGUUGCAAUGAAUUGCAAAACCUCUUAAAACCCAAGUGGUCCACCAUAGAUAAAGGAUACUCAUGUAAGAUAAUCAUAUAAGCUAGCUCUUUCCCAGCAUUACCUUCAUCAAAACUAUAUGCACCAUGUUUAACAGACCCAUCACCGGCUAUAACUGGACUCUUUUUCUUUGUCUUCAAUACAGGACAUGUUCUAACAUGUGAAAGUAAAGAUGAAGUACCAACAGUGGAGCCCGAUGCUAGCCUAGCUUUACAAUGGUUACAGACAACUUUCACCUCCCCACAAAAACUUUUUUCCUCAAAAUGCUGCCAGACAACUGAGGUUCUUUUUCUCUUCCUACCAGUGUCAUCAAAGCUUGAUUCACUUAGGUCCAAUUCUUGAUCAAGAUUAAUUGGUUCAAUAGCUUGGUUCUCGCUUUGAGUCUCCAUCUUGGAACUAGUUGAAACAGUUAGAUACAAGACUUUUUGAAGAUCUAAGAUCUUCAAAUAAUUCAUACGAAAAGAGUUCCUGCUGAAACAAAUACAGAUUAUCAAUUCACAAAUUAUAUUGCAAGUGGAAAUAGUUCAUAUGAAAACUGAGACUGAUUUAAAAUACCAAAUAGAUGCUAUUGAGUUGAUAAUCUACAACCCCACAAAUUAAUUCUAUCAAAAACAAGUUCGAUAGAAAAACUCAUGUCAAACAAAGGCCGAUGAUUUAUAAUCCCACGACUUAAUUCCAUUGAACAAACAAGUUUGAUAUCAGAACAAGUUCGAUAACAAAACUCAUACUAAAAUUUAAACAAUACCAAGCUGAAGCAAUCGAUAAAAACCCAAACUUUUGUUUUAUAAAAUUGAAAAGACAUAAACUUUUAUCUGCAAAUCAUCCUUCAAUCCAAAAGGGCCACAAUCCAUAAUUCAGGUGUUCAAGAACAAGACAUCAAAAACUACAAUCAGCCAAUUAAAAGAAACCAAAACAAGCAUAUGGGCAUUCCAGAAACCAUACAAAUAACCCAACAAAAUUAAAAAUUAAAAAUUAAAAGCAUACCCAGAGUAUGUUCAAGCUUGAACGAGCUUUUGGCCAUGGCGGAAUUCUCACUGCGAUUGAUCUCUGCAAAUUUCAAACAACAAGAUAUAACAAAAUUGAAAAUUCCCUCCUACCCAAAAAUGGUAUAACAAGAUUAAACACAAAUACAGCAAGAAAACUGAGUAAUAAGAGUUUACCAACUUGGAACCCCCUACUUACUGCUACAUUUCAUUCAAACAAAACAAUACCAAAUAGUCCUAGGCAAAAUUUAAAAGCCUGUAGAGUAAUAAGAGUUAAAUAAAGAUAUGUGAACACAUAAUUACUCUACUAAAUUCAGUAAUACAUAACACAGAUACAAACUGGAGAACCAAACACACAAGUACAUUUCCAAAAUCAAGAACAAUGCAAAUUUUUAAUAAAAUCAAGAACAAUGCCUAAUCAAGACUAGAUUUCACAAAUCCUAAUUUAAAUUUCACAAACCCUAAAUCUCAAACCCUAAAUUAAUUCCAAAAUUUAACUGAUGUCCCGAAUUCUGAGGUGAGGAGGUUGUCUGAGGUGAGGUCGAGGAGGGUGGUGAGGUUGUCUGAGCGAGGUCGAGGAGGGUGGUGAGGUUGUCUGAGCGAGGUCGCCGAGGUGUGGUCGAGUCAAAGUCGAGAGGCGCAGAGAGAGCGACGGAGAGAGAGGCCCAAAGAGCGACGGAGAGAGAGAGCGAGUGACGGAGAGAGAGGCGCAAAGAAAGAGCGACGGAGAGAGAGAGUGACGGAGAGAGAGAGCGACGGAGAGAGAGAGUGACGAAGUCGAGAGGCGGAGAAAGAGAGUGACGGAUUUGUAACUCUGAGGGUUUUUACUUUUUUUUUUUUAAUUUUACAUAUAUUAAAUUAAAUGGGUAAAUGGAUACCCAUUAUAACCAUGAAUAUUACCCAUAACCGAUGGAUACCCGUUAUAACCGCGGAUAAUACCCAUAACCGCCCAUUUAAAUUUCAUGGAUAAACGGUUAUACCCAUAACCGUUUAUUUGUUUAAACGGUUACCCAUAACCAUAACCAUCAACUUUAAAUGGACGGGUAACCGCGGUUUCCCAUACCCAUGGAUAUUUUGCCCAUCCCUAGUCACAUUGUACGCUCUGUUUUUUUCCGUGAAAAUAUCAUUAAACUGUUUGGUUAACAUUAUGUAUAAUUGAUUACCAACACAUUAUGUACAUAAUGUAAUUCAUAUCAUGUUUUUGUAUCACAUUUUCAUACUAUUUUUGGUGACAUUUGAUGUGGACAGCCACAUUAUUUGAAUUAAUUAGAUUUUAAAUUUAGUUCAUUAUUUAAUAAAUUAAUAAUUAAGAAAAAUUAAUUAAUUAAAUGAUAAUUGUGAUAUACGAGGAGUUUUUCUCCUUCAUUUUCUUAGGUUUUGCAAAUUUUUCAAAUGAUGUGGUUGUCACUUAAGGUGAUAUAGAAAUGUGAUAUAAAAAUAUAGUAUGAAUAACAUUACUCCUAUCUAUUAGAGUUUUCCUUGCAAGCAAAGACAUCGUGGUCCAAACCGUCAAUGUUGAGUCAUCCAUAUCAAAGACACCUUGCCAUCUUCUGAAGGAUUGAUCCCUGUACCGUCGUCGCACUCGUUUUUAGCUGCAAUGGUUAUUUUAUACGAUGACUGCACUACAAAGAAAUUGAUCUAAGAACGCAAAAAUAAAAUAAAAAAUUAGUGAAGAUUACUAUCGCAUUUAAAAAAAUAACGAUAAAUUUCUUAACGAAGAUUAACAACCUCGCGCUCUUUUUUAGCUGCAAUAGUUCUCAAAGCCCAGUUACAAUUUUUUAGUGCAGAUGAGUCUCGCAAAGAUGAAGGCAUGUUCGAGGAUUAAGGUCUCUAAUUGGUAGAUGGCUCAGAUGGAACAAAGUUAUCUGUACAGCAGUUGGUAGAAAAAUGAGGAGCCGAAGUUUUACGCAUAGAGAAUCCCAUCGUGAGGAGCUUGCAUACUGGCGGAUCUAGGAAAUAAUAUUAUGGGGCUUAGUAAGAAUAAUGUGUGUAGCGCGUAAAUUUUUUUAAACAUAAAUAGCAUGCGUAUCAUCAUUUCAUCGAGUCUUGGUAGACCUGAAAUCAUUUGAAAAUGCAUACUGCACACCUGUUAAUGCCUCAUUUGCAUGGGUAACUAACAUGUUCUAAGGCUGUUCCCAUAUGAUAGCUUAACAAUGAAAUACACUUAUCUUGAACACACUAACAAUGUUUGAUAUCAUUGCAUCCCAUUAAUAUGUUUGUCCAAGAAUGAUGAUAGUUUGUUACUCUUUGAGAUCACCAUUUCAUUUCCUUUGCAUUUUUGGAUAAUUUUUACUUGGUUCUUUUUUUCUACUUACAAUUGUAAUCAUAACCAACAAAUAAGUCAGAAGUAAAUAAUAUUAGGACCAUACUGGAAAGGGGCAACACAUCUCUAAUGUAUUUUAUCAAGCAGUUGAAGGGCAUAUAUAAAGGGCAACUCCAACCUUUAAAGGGGCAACACGCAAGUCAUUCAUGGAUAUUCACCGAAAUUCGAAAGGUCAGCACUCAAGCUAUCUCUGGAUAUUCACUGAAGUUCGAGGGUCAGUUGACCUCAUGCCCCUCAAUGCAUCCGCCCUUGCUUGCAUAUGUAUAGUUUCUCUUUCUUUCGACGAUCUGGGGACGAACAUCCAUAUCUCUUCAUUUUCUACAACCCAAAAUAUAAAAUUAAAAGAAAAUGUAAACGACAAGGUGAAGGAAUUUUACAAACUCUUUUUGCCCGAUUUAGAUGAAUUAAAAAAUAUUUGAAGCUGGGGAAAACUGCUAUUCCAUGUCAUACCAUAUUAAAUUUGAUUUUUCAGAUGAAAAACAUUGAUGCUGUUAUUUUUUAUUGUUAUUAUUGAUUUCGAUAUUUUAAUAUCUCCUUGAAGAUGUUCAAUCUAGAAAUUGAGAGAUGGAAGGAACCACAAAUUUAUCACAACUUUCUGGGUUUCAUCUGCAUCGAGAGAAAGUGGGGAGGAGAGAGGGUGACGAAUAGGCUAAUAGCAAACAAGAGAGAGAAAUAUCGUCUUAAAUUAUAAUUUUUAAAAUUAUAUUAAUAGUCGGACCCAAGAAUGAAGGCAAUUGAAUUCUCAAAUACACGGAAAUGAAUCAUCUUUAGAUCUCUUCCAUUAUACAUCAAUCCAAGUUUAUGAAAUCUGAUAUUAUUAUAACAAUUAAUGGAAUCUCUUGUUUUUAAUCAUGAAUCAAAUUUCAAGAAUCAGAAUCGGUACAUCGGAAGGAUUUGGAAUUUGGAGAGGAUCCAUUUUCCAAAUGCACGUGGUGAGUCUAGUUAGCUAGCUUUCCCUUUUUGAAUUAUAUUAAUAGUGGGACCGAAGAGUCUAGGCUGUUGAAGGCAAAUACACGCGAAUAGUGGGCGGGAAACCAAGAAUGAAGGCAAAUGAAGGCAAAUACAGGUGGUAAGCAUAGAUUUAAAAAUCGAUAAUAUCGGCGAUUCGUUUUUUUCAUAUAACGAUAUUUCGUGAGUAUUUUUUUAAUUAUCGUUAAUAUAUCGCGAUAAUAUCGAUAUUUCGUAAGUAUUUUGAUAUUAUCGCGAUAUUAUAUAUAAUAUCGCGAGAUGAACCUAAAAAUAUUUGAAAAUUUCUGAAAAGUCUCAAACGCACAUAAAGGGAUUCGAACCCCUCCCCUCUAACUCCUUCAGCGACUUGACCACUAUACCACUUACGUUUUUGUGAAAACAUGCUAAACUAUUUAUAUAUAUGGUUUUGUUUUGAAUUCUUUUUGCAAGAAACAAAUUUGCACAUAUUCCAAAUUUUUUGUGGUAUUAUAUUUUAAAUUGUGUCAAUUAAUUACUUAGUCAAUGGCAUGUGGUUUUUAAUUUUUCUAUUUUUUAUUUGGUCACUUACAUGUAUGGUUGGAAAAAAUUCCCGAAAAUCCCAAACCAAACCGAAAAAGUCCCAAACCAAAACCAUCCCGAAAAAUACCGAAAAUUUUCGAUAUGGGAUUGGUUUCCAAAUCCCAUUUGUUUGGAAAUCCUGAAAUCCCGAAAAAUACCGAAGUAUUCGGUUUUCCUAUUGACUUUUGGGUUUCGGUUCUUGAAAGAAGCCAUUGCCAUGGUUGCUAACUACUCUUCACAAUACACUUACUCUACACAUAGUGAUGAUGAAGAUAGUGAAAAUUUUGAACCUCAUAGGAACUCUAUGUGGUACUUAGUCACUCAUGUAUCUUACCAUGCAAUGUAUAAAGUGUAAAAUAUUGUACUAAUUCAUUAUAUAUAAAUGAUUAUGGUGUGUUUAAACUUCUUUCAUUAAUUAUUAUAUAUUUUCUACACUCACAAUGUUUGCCAGCUCGCUAUAUAAUCAACUUAAAUCAGUUAAAUCCAUCAUGCAAUGCAUUUCAUUCCAAUUUUUUGUGAUAAACUAAUAGAUAAUUGACUAAAUAAACAUCCUGCAAAGUUUCAAUAAAAAUUUCCAAGUUUUUCUUACAAUUUCCGUGGUUUCCAUGUAAUUUUUAUCGAUAUCGAUAUUAUCCCGAUAUUUCCAUCGAUAUUUCCAUGUUUUCAGACUACCGAUAUUUCCGAUAUUACCGAUAUUUUCUUCCUUGGUGGUAAGCCAUUCCGUCUGGCAUUCUUCCUUUAUGUAUAUAGAUUAAUAGCGGGACCCAAAAAUGAAAGUAAUUAAAACCACACGUGGUAAGCGAGUCCGGCUGGACCUUUAUAAUUAUAAUUUGGAUAAUGCGAGGUACAAUUUAUAAAUAAAUUUUGCAAAUUAAAUGUUGAUAAACGUACUAAUUUAUAUUAAUAAUAUCAUUUAAUUUAUAAAUUUUAUAUACAAAUUUAAUCCCUUAGCAUUAAGUUUAUAUUUUAGUCACUACUUAAGUACUUAUAGCUAUAGAUUAUAGAAUAUAUAAAUAUAUAUAUAUAUAUAUAUAUUUAGAGAAUUGUUAUUGACAUUUUAAAAUUCUCAUUCUACACUCCAAAUUUUCUAUAUUUAGAAAGAAAAAUAUACUUGUGAUGAGUAUAAAAUGAGAUUUUUGAAGUGCCAAUAACAUUUUCCAAUAUUUAUUUAUCAAAAUCAUUACUUAUAUUAUAAUCACUACUUGUAGCUAUAUAUUAGAGUUUAUGUAAGGCUUGUAAACCUUGAUAUCCUGCAUUUUCCCCCAAAUGUCUUCAACUUAGACGUCCCAACCUUUUUCUAAGUCAUGCCAAAAUAUUGUUCCUAAAACCAAUUAUAUUGAGGAGAAGGAAGACGGGGAAGGCUGCCGGAAAAUUGAUGCCGCAUUAUGUAGAGAAAUGCUGCCAAAUCUUCCGAAAGAGAAGGGUUGGACCACUGAACACUUGGUUCAGUACAAAGGGGUCUGGCUAAACCCUAUCUUUGCCUUAAAAGCAGCCGUGCAGCUUCAACACCAUUUCAACUUAUUCCAAACAACCGGAAGUUCUACCAGCGCCGCCCGUCGGUCGUCGCCCAUAUGCUUCUUGGCCACAAUUCCGAAAUCAGGUACGACGUGGCUUAGAGCACUCAUGUUCGCUAUACUCAACAGAAGCCUCUAUGAUGCUGCCUCUCCUCAUCAUAUCCCUUGCUCACAACUGGGCCCCACGACUGUUUUCCUUUCUUGGAGAUGGAUAACAUGCUUGGAAACCAUGAUCACAGUCGUCCCGUAACCUCACUUGAUCAUGAUCACGACGAUCGUGACGGUGGUGAUGGUAUGAUUAAUAAUUAUGUUCCGCCUACAAGCACUACACAACUCUUUGCGACCCACCUGCCUUACUCUUUGUUACCAAAGUCUGUGACUACUUCUAGUAGUGCUUAUU
rnacentral:lncRNA from 1 species